rnacentral:rRNA from 1 species
GACGAACGCUGGCGGCGUGCUUAACACAUGCAAGUCGAACGGAAAGGCCUGCUUUCCCUUGUGGAUUGCGGGUACUCGAGUGGCGAACGGGUGAGUAACACGUGAGUGAUCUGCCCCCAACUUGGGUAUAAGCCUGGGAAACUGGGUCUAAUUCCCGAUAGGACUGCAGGGUGGUGCCUGUGGUGGAAAACGAUUUUCUAGUGGUUGGGGAUGAGCUCGCGGCCUAUCAGCUUGUUGGUGGGGUAAUGGCCUACCAAGGCGGCGACGGGUAGCCGGCCUGGGAGGGUGGACGGCCACAUUGGGACUGGGAUACGGCCCAGACGCCUACGGGAGGCAGCAGUGGGGAAUAUAGCACAAUGGGCGGAAGCCUGAUGCAGCGACGCCGCGUGGGGGAUGACGGCCUUCGGGUUGUAAACUCCUUUCGACCGCGAGGAAGCCACCUGGUUGGAAGGGUGGUGACGGUAGUGGUAGAAGAAGCACCGGCUAACUACGUG